rnacentral:rRNA from 1 species
GCCGUAACUAUAACGGU